rnacentral:rRNA from 1 species
CCUACGGGCGGCAGCAGUGAGGAAUAUUGGUCAAUGGGCGUAAGCCUGAACCAGCCAAGCCGCGUGCGGGAUGAAGGUUCUAUGGAUUGUAAACCUCUUUUAUAAGGGAAUAAAGUGUGGGACGUGUCCUAUUUUGUAUGUACCUUAUGAAUAAGGAUCGGCUAACUCCGUGCCAGCAGCCGCGGUAAUACGGAGGAUCCGAGCGUUAUCCGGAUUUAUUGGGUUUAAAGGGUGCGUAGGCGGCCUGUUAAGUUAGCGGUGAAAGUCUGUGGCUCAACCAUAGCAUUGCCGUUGAAACUGGGGGGCUUGAGUAUAGUUGAGGCAGGCGGAAUGCAUGGUGUAGCGGUGAAAUGCUUAGAUAUCACGCAGAACCCCGAUUGCGAAGGCAGCCUGCCAAGCCAUGACUGACGCUGAUGCACGAAAGCGUGGGGAGCAAACAGGAUUAGAUACCCCAGUAGUC